UAAGCAUAGCAUGAGUUUAUUAACAAUAUAAAGUGAUCAAACGAUUUUGUAUUUGUUGCAUGCAAAGUUAGAGUAAUAAAAUGGCUAAAACUCUUAAGGUUUUUUAUACUAUGAUCCUUUUUAUGUUCUUUUGUCUUGCUCUAGUCGAUGUUGGUGAUGUAUGUCAGACAUCGAUUGUCUAAAUUACGAGUGUCCCCUUCAUCGUUGUGGAUUUUGCAUAGAUGGUAGUUGUAAGUUCUUAUAGUACAAGUAAAGGUAAAAAAAAAACAUUUAUAUGUUACGUGACAGCCUUUAAUUUAUUUAUUAUGUUUAAGGCUUCAACUUUUAAUUUUUUAAUAAAUUUACAAGCGUACUAAAUUUUAUUUUGAAAGUGUUGUUAGCUUUGUUCUCUUGUGAGUUAUAUAUGUGCGUGUGUGUUUAAGGAUAUAUUUGGAUUGAGGUAAGUAAUAUAGAAAUGUUUUUUAGUUGAAUAUAUAUACUAAUGGCUAUUUAAUUGAAGCA